GGAGAUGUAGCUCAGUGGCAGAGUGCUUGCUUAGCAAGUGUAAGACCUUAGGUUCAAGCCCUAGCACCA
rfam:Ictidomys tridecemlineatus contig065407, whole genome shotgun sequence.